UGCGGCUGGAUCCCCUCCUUUCUAAGGAUAUAUUCGGAACAUCUUCUACGAAGAUGAGGGAUAACGUGACAUAUUGUAUUCAGUUUUGAAUGUUUAUUUGCAUUCAAAUUAUAUAAUGGGCCUAUAGCUCAGCUGGUUAGAGCGCACGCCUGAUAAGCGUGAGGUCGGUGGUUCGAGUCCACUUAGGCCCACCAUUCAUUUGUACAUUGAAAACUAGAUAAGUAAGUAAGAUUUUACCAAGCAAAACCGAGUGAAUAGAGUUUUAAAUAAGCUUGAAUUCAUAAAUAAUCGCUAGUGUUCGAAAGAACACUCACAAGAUUAAUAACUAGUUUUAGCUAUUUAUUUUGAAUUGUUAUUCAAAAUAUGGUGGAAAACAUAGAUUAAGUUAUUAAGGGCGCACGGUGGAUGCCUUGGCACUAGAAGCCGAUGAAGGACGUUACUAACGACGAUAUGCUUUGGGUAGCUGUAAGUAAGCGUUGAUCCAGAGAUUUCCGAAUGGGGAAACCCGG
rnacentral:misc_RNA from 1 species